rnacentral:rRNA from 1 species
UUGAACGCUGGCGGUAUGCUUUACACAUGCAAGUCGAACGGGCUAUGGGGCUUGCUCCAUAGUUAGUGGCGAACGGGUGAGUAAUAUAUCGGAACAUAUCCGGAAGUGGGGGAUAACGUAGCGAAAGUUACGCUAAUACCGCAUAUGCCCUGAGGGGGAAAGGGGGGGAUCGCAAGACCUCUCGCUUUCGGAGUGGCCGAUAUCGGAUUAGCUAGUAGGUGAGGUAAAGGCUCACCUAGGCGACGAUCCGUAGCUGGUCUGAGAGGACGACCAGCCACACUGGAACUGAGACACGGUCCAGACUCCUACGGGAGGCAGCAGUGGGGAAUUUUGGACAAUGGGCGCAAGCCUGAUCCAGCAAUGCCGCGUGCAGGAUGAAGGCCUUCGGGUUGUAAACUGCUUUUGUACGGAACGAAAAGACUCCUUCUAAUAAAGGGGGUUCAUGACGGUACCGUAAGAAUAAGCACCGGCUAACUACGUGCCAGCAGCCGCGGUAAUA